GAUGAACGCUAGCGGCAGGCCUAAUACAUGCAAGUCGGACGGGAUCCAUUGAUAGCUUGCUCUCAAUGGUGAGAGUGGCGCACGGGUGCGUAACGCGUGAGCAACCUGCCUCCAUCAGGGGGAUAGCCUCUCGAAAGAGAGAUUAACACCGCAUAAUAUCAACAGUUCGCAUGUUCAGUUGAUUAAAUAUUUAUAGGAUGGAGAUGGGCUCGCGUGACAUUAGCUAGUUGGUAGGGUAACGGCUUACCAAGGCGACGAUGUCUAGGGGCUCUGAGAGGAGAAUCCCCCACACUGGUACUGAGACACGGACCAGACUCCUACGGGAGGCAGCAGUAAGGAAUAUUGGUCAAUGGGCGGAAGCCUGAACCAGCCAUGCCGCGUGCAGGAUGACUGCCCUAUGGGUUGUAAACUGCUUUUGUCCAGGAAUAAACCUAAAUACGAGUAUUUAGCUGAAUGUACUGGAAGAAUAAGGAUCGGCUAACUCCGUG
rnacentral:rRNA from 1 species